GAUAUAGCUGGUUUUCUGCGAAAUUUGUAUUAGCAAAGUGUUUAUGUAAUAAAUUAGUAGGUAUAGCACUGAAUAUUCAUUUAGAGGGAGUACGUAAGUAUUUAUCUCGGAUAUUUAAUCUCAGAAUGACUAAUUUAUAAGAUAAAUCGAUCGGACUUUUUGCGAGAAGGUGGAAAGUCAAGAGGGAAACAGCCCAGA
rnacentral:rRNA from 1 species